rnacentral:rRNA from 1 species
CACCGCGGUCAUACGAGUGCGCCCAAGUGGAUAGCUAACGGCGUAAAGUGUGGUUAGGGCCCUAUAAAUACUAAAGAAGAACCACCUCCCAGCCGUUAUACGCACCUGACAGCAUGAAGCCCUCCCACGAAAGUGACUUUAACUCUGCCCGAACCCACGAAAACUAGGAAA